GACGAACCGUGCGAACGUUAUUCGGAAUCACUGGGCUUAAAGGGUGCGUAGGCGGGCUCGUAAGUCAGGGGUGAAAUCCCACGGCCCAACCGUGGAAGUGCCUCUGAUACUGCGGGCCUCGAGGGGGAUAGGGGCGUGCGGAACUCAGGGUGGAGCGGUGAAAUGCGUAGAUAUAGGAAGGAACACCAGUGGCGAAGGCGACCACCUGGACUGAUACUGACACUGAGGUGCGAAAGCGUGGGGAGCAAACAGG
rnacentral:rRNA from 1 species